CUUCCAGUGGUUGAGGUGCUUCAGGAGCUUACUGAGGACGACCUCGUUAGGAUAAUGGUAGAGCCUAGCACCGCGCUACUAUGGCAGUACAGUGCGCUACUCGGCCUCGAAAGCGCCUGCCUUGCCAUAUCGACAUCCGGACUCAGGCGCAUAGCGCACAGGGGCCUGUUGCUUGGCAUAGGAGCACGGGGCCUGAGGUCCAUUAUGGAGCACUUACUCGUCGACGCAAUGUACGAGGUGCCAAUUGCCCAUGGCAGCACCUAUGGCAUACUUCUGGAUGAGCGCGUCGUCCGUGCUAUGAGGGGUCCGUUCAUGCUAUACCCACGCCCUAUAUAGGAUGCAACUAGGGCGCAUGCCUAUACACCAUCUGGUGCUUAGCUCAGCGGCAGAGCGGCGUCCUUACGCUGCGCAGGUCGAUAGUUAGAGACUUUCAGCACACAUUGCCAUGGUGCCACGCUUAUCCACUGGCUCUGGCUAUACGCACGUGCCACGCGGGCCUGAAGGC
rnacentral:tRNA from 1 species